GAAUGUUCUAGUAUGUAGGUCAAGAUGGUGAGAAAUGUUGAAAUCAUGGUGCUUGGGGAUGUUGGAGGCAGAAUAACCAUGUGAUCUGAAGAUAGUCACUAGAUAUCUUUAUGCCAUCAAAAGAUCCCAGUGAAGCAAGACAUUCGACAGCAGCUCUGAUCCUUGCCUGCACUUACAAAGGCAUCUUCCCAAGGGUUUCCCUAAGUGGAAAUACUUUCUUACAAGGAAGUCCAAGAACAUCCAGACAUCAUGGAGCUUCCCGCAUGAGUGCCACUGUGAGCCACUGGAGGUCUGCAGUGCCAGAGCUGAGGGCCCUGGGAACCCAAGCAGCCUUUUCAGGGUCCCACGGAGGCCAUCAAACAGCACAUGUGGUUCUGUUCAGCUGAUCUGGAGAAUCUUCUGUGUCAAAGUAAAGUGAACAAUUGUGCCCUGAAGCUCCAAUCUGAAUAUCUGGGGCUGCCUGGUGUGACCUUGGAGUCGAGUGGUCAUGCUGGGGCCAAGCUGGAGAGACAUGCACAGUGGCAGUCAGAGACAGGGGCAAAUACCAGCAGCUAAAGUAAAACGUCUGGGGGGCCAGAACAGGAAGAAGUUGACCAGAGGGAUGCGAUCGUGGCAUUGAAGUUGGUGGGUGCCUACCCAGGCCUGGCUUUCUUCUAAAGAAAGGAGACCAGGGCCCUGUCUGAGUAGACAUUUCUGCCUAUUCCCAAGUGGAUUCUGCUAUUCCAGGCCUUGAUUCCACCAUACUGGAAUGUUGUAGCAUUCUGUAAAAAUUAAAAACAGAACUACCACAUGAUCCAGCACUCUUGAUACUGGGUUACAAGCAAAGAAAAUGAAAUCAGUAUGUCACAGGGACAUCCGCACUCCCAAGUUUGUUUCAGCACUGUUUACCAUAGCCAAGAAAUGACAAAACCUAGGUGCCCAUCGAUGGAAGAAUGGAUAAGGAACAUGUGGAUGCAUAUACAUGAUGGAAUACAAUUCAGCCCUAAAAAUGACGAAAUCUUGUCAUUUGAAAAACAUGUACGGAACUGGAGAUAAUUAUGUUAUGUGAAAUAAGCCAGGCACAGAAAGACAAGUACUACACUAUCUCACUCAUAAGGAGAAUGUAGAAAAGUCUGCAUUUACAUAUA
rnacentral:lncRNA from 1 species